CAUUUACAAAUUAAUAGGAAAAAUUGGUUUACUUUUUUAUGCUAUUGGAUAAUUAUGUAUUGGACUGGAAUUAAAUUUGCAGGCCUUGUUAAACAGAAAGCCAAUUUACAGUACUUUUUAAAGUUAAAAGUUAACUCAGAGAAUUUAUUAACUGACCACAAAUAAAAAAUAUCUCACCAAGACAGCGAUGGUAUCGAAGUCGAAAGGGGAUUAAGGUUUGGUAUCUCUCGGUUUUCACUCCGCACAAGAUAAACUCAGUCUGUUCCAGGGAUUUCUUUGCUGGAAGAGAAAAGCUGAAAGAGCUUGAUUGCAAGCGGUCUUAACUACGCAAUAGUUAGGCCUGGGGGAUGAAGAGACCUACUGAUGCAUACAAAGAAACUCAUAAUCAAACUCUUGCUCUAGAAGAUACAUUGUUUGGUGGUCAGAUCUCAAAUCUCCAGUUGCAGCCAAAGAGUUAACACCAGUCACUAUUGAGCCUGUCACUCAAGAACCAACAGCUCCCACGGAGGAUGAAGCACAUGUCAGAAGUGAAAGAUGUGAAACCUAGGCCAUUGUCUCCUUUUCUGCCUAUGAAGACUUGAAAUCUCCAAAUUCUCCUAUUUCCACAUUCGACCACAGCACUUGGUGCCACCAAAGCUAAGGAGGUGGAAGCAACUCAGGUUCCGGAGGUGGAAGUAACUCAGGUUCCUGUUGAGGCCAAUGUAGUUACAGUGUCAGAAAAUCUUGUUGAUGCCAAUGUCCCAGAAGCAGUAGAAUUUGGAC